GAAAUGGCAACCCACUCCAGUAUUCUUGCCUAGAGAAUCCCAUGGACAGAGGAGCCUGAUAGGCUACAGACCAUGGAGUCGCAAAGAGUUGGACAUGACUGAGCGACUUCACUUUCACUUUCACUUUAUAAUCCUACAAAGAACAAAAGAGAUCAAGUGUUGUACACGUUUAUGGAGUUUGAGGAAAAAUGUAGAUUUUGGAGGGGAAAGAAAUAACUGACAACGGAGUUAUAAAAAAAGUUAUGAAGAAUUGCAGGUUGAACCUUGGAGAGGGAAGAGGAAAGCUUCAACACGGGCUUGAAAGCAACAGAAAUUUAAAAAGUAAAUCUCCUAAGCAGAGACAUCACUUUGCUGACAAAGGUCUGUAUAGUCAAAGCUAUGGUUUUUCCAGUAGUCAUGUAGAAUGUGACAGCUGGACCAUAAAGGAGGCUGAGUGCUUAAGAACUGAUGCUUUUGAACUGUGGUACUGGAGAGACUCUUGAGAGUCCCUUGGGCUACAAGAAGAUCAAACCAGUCAAUCCUAAAGGAAAUCAACCUGAAUAUUCAUUGGAAGGACUGAUGCUAAAGCUGAAGCUCUAAUGCUUUGUCACCUGAUGGAAAGAACCGACUCAUUGGAAAAGACUCUGAUUCUAGGAAAAAUUGAAUGUAGGAGGAGAAGGGGGUGACAGAGGAUGAGAUGGUUGGAUGGCAUCACUGACUCAAUAGACAUGAGUUUGAAUAAGCUCUGAGAUGGUGAAGGACAGGGAAGCCUGUGUUGCAGUCCAUGGGUUCGCAAGGAGUCAGACACAACUGAAGUGACUUAGUUUGCACACACAUCUUCACAGCAGAGUGUUUCCUGAAAGUCUCAGUCUAUGACAGUGAUGCUCCUGGCUAGAGAUGCCUGUGGUGCUCACAUCGAUCAUCCCACCUGCAGCAGCCCCUACAGACAUCUCCCUGACCAGGGUCCAAGGAUGUGGCUGGAUCAGGCCUUGUGGGUCUUAUGACUGCAGAAUGCACCUCAGCAACAAGCACCAGGAAAGUUUGGAAAAAAGAAGAUUUAUGACUCAGCAGUCCUGGCGGACGUGCAGCACACCCUGACCACAUACUGUGGUCAAGGUUGAAGGAGGGAAGGAGUGAGGACCAGGGGCUCGCCCUUUAUUAGGGUCCUGGGUGGGGUGCUCUGUGUUUUGUAGGUUAUUUCAAUUAUUGGCAAAUUGAA
ensembl:lncRNA